GGGAAUGUGGCUCAGUGGUAGAGUGCUUGCCUUUGCAUGCAUGAGGCCCUGGGUUCGAUUCCUUAGCAUCA
rfam:Dipodomys ordii contig_7961, whole genome shotgun sequence.